GACGAACGCUGGCGGCGUGCUUAACACAUGCAAGUCGAACGGAAAGGCCCUGCUUUUGUGGGGUGCUCGAGUGGCGAACGGGUGAGUAACACGUGAGUAACCUGCCCUUGACUUUGGGAUAACUUCAGGAAACUGGGGCUAAUACCGGAUAGGAGCUCCUGCUGCAUGGUGGGGGUUGGAAAGUUUCGGCGGUUGGGGAUGGACUCGCGGCUUAUCAGCUUGUUGGUGGGGUAGUGGCUUACCAAGGCUUUGACGGGUAGCCGGCCUGAGAGGGUGACCGGCCACAUUGGGACUGAGAUACGGCCCAGACUCCUACGGGAGGCAGCGGUGGGGAAUAUUGCACAAUGGGCGGAAGCCUGAUGUAGCAACGCCGCGUGCGGGAUGACGGCCUUCGGGUUGUAAACCGCUUUCGCCUGUGACGAAGCGUGAGUGACGGUAAUGGGUAAAGAAGCACCGGCUAACUACGUG
rnacentral:rRNA from 1 species